rnacentral:ribozyme from 14 species
CAUACUUUGGUUUUGGUCAUUUUCUUCUUAUUUUUUCUUUAUCUUUUUUUAUUUCU